CCAGGAGUUAGGGACCAGCCUGGGCAGCAUGGUGAGACUCCAAUUGUAAAAAUAAGCUGUGUAAGGCAUGACAUCUACAGAACUUUGGGAAGUGACUUCAGAAUGAAGGGAACCUCCAGUAAGGACACAGAGUGCCACCCUCCAAAUCCUUCCAGCUGCUCUUACAGUGGAUGAGAAACGCUUUCUCCAGAGUCCACCUCAGACGUGAAGAUCUGAGUUGUUUGGUCACCAAUCACGAUGGCUUCGCCACCAUCCUGCCUCCACUCUCCACUCACCUCAUGCGAAUUGUGUGUGGCUCUUCCUGCCAAGAGAUGAGAAUCUCUCUAUGUUGCCCAGGCUGGUCUCCAACUCCUGACUUCAAGUAAUCCUCCUGUCUCAGCCUCAAAGAGCUGGGAUUACAGGCAUGAGCCACAGUGCCCAGUCCCAUUCCCAUUUUCUGAAUCUUUCAGAGUUUCUGAUUGCCUUGAACUGCCAGAAAAAGCUGCUGUAAAAUCUCGAUAUAUCACUGCUGCUCAAAACCACCCAAACCAUCUUCAACCCUCUGCCCUCUGGCAUGUGACUGGCCUGCGUUUCAGGAGGUGAAAGAUCAGACCUUUGUGAUUUGUUAAAGCACUCAGCAACCCAGAAAUAAACAUGCACGCCGAUGGUGAUUUGAGAACUAAAGGAUAUCUGUC